ensembl:rRNA 5S_rRNA 5S ribosomal RNA
UGCCACAGCCAUAUCAACCUGCAGCCCAAGACUCAGUGGUUACUAAAACUGAAGCUAAGCAGGGCUGAACCUGGGCAGUAUCUGGAUGGGAGACCACAUGGGAAAACCUGGUUGCUGUUGGAA